rnacentral:rRNA from 1 species
CAAUAGCGUAUAUUAAAGUUGUUGCAGUUAAAAAGCUCGUAGUUGGAUUUCUGGUGGGAGCGAUCGGUCUGGCGCUUAGCGCGAGUACUUGCAUCGUCUCCGGCCAUCCUUGGGGAGAGUCUGUCUGGCAUUAGGUUGUCGGGCAGAGGAUCCUCAUCGUUUACUGUGAAAAAAUUAGAGUGUUCAAAGCAGGCUUAUGCCGUUGAAUAUAUUAGCAUGGAAUAAUAAGAUAGGACUUUGGUACUAUUUUGUUGGUUUGCGCACCAAAGUAAUGAUUAAUAGGGACAGUUGGGGGUAUUCGUAUUCCGUUGUCAGAGGUGAAAUUCUUGGAUAUACGGAAGACGAACUACUGCGAAAGCAUUUACCAAGGAUGUUUUCAUUAA